CUGGUUGAUCCUGCCAGACCCGACUGCUAUCGGAUUGGGACUAAGCCAUGCGAGUCAACUCCGCAAGGGGUGGCGCACGGCUCAGUAACACGUAGUCAACCUACCCUGGGGACGGGGAUAACCUCGGGAAACUGAGGCUAAACCCCGAUGGGCCAUGGCUCCUGGAAUGGGCUAUGGCUGAAAUCUACAUGGCCCCAGGAUGGGACUGCCGCCGAUCAGGUUGUUGGUGGGGUAAUGGCCCACCAAGCCUAUAACCGGUGCGGGCUCUGAGAGGAGGAGCCCGGAGAUAGGCACUGAGACAAGGGCCCAGGUCCUAUGGGGCGCAGCAGGCGCGAAACCUCCGCAAUGGGCGAAAGCCCGACGGGGUCAGUCCGAGUGGUUCCCGCUGAGGGAACCUUUUGCCAGCUGUAAACAGGCUGGCGAAUAAGGGGUGGGCAAGUUUGGUGUCAGCCGCCGCGGUAAUACCAGCACCCCGAGUGGUCGGGACGAUUAUUGGGCCUAAAGCAUCCGUAGCCGGCCCAGUAAGUCCUCCGUUAAAUCCAACGGCUCAACCGUUGGGCUGCGGGGGAUACUGCUGGGCUAGGGGACGGGAGAGGCGAGGGGUAUUCCCGGGGUAGGGGUAAAAUCCACUGAUCCCGGGAGGACCACCAGUGGCGAAGGCGCCUCGCUAGAACGUGCCCGACGGUGAGGGAUGAAAGCUGGGGGAGCGAACCGGAUUAGAUACCCGGGUAGUCCCAGCCGUAAACGAUGUAGGCUCGGUGUUGGGCUGCCUCAGUGGCAGCCCAGUGCCGCAGGGAAGCCGUUAAGCCUACCGCCUGGGGAGUACGGCCGCAAGGCUGAAACUUAAAGGAAUUGGCGGGGGAGCACCAC
rnacentral:rRNA from 1 species